rnacentral:rRNA from 1 species
UACGGAGGAGGCAAGCGUCAUCCGGAAUUAUUGGGCGUAAAGCGUCCGCAGGUGGCACUUCAAGUCUGUCGUCAAAGACUGGGGCUUAACCCUGGAAAGGCGGUGGAAACUGAAGCGCUAGAGUGCGGUAGGGGUAGAGGGAAUUCCCGGUGUAGCGGUGAAAUGCGUAGAGAUCGGGAAGAACAUCGGUGGCGAAAGCGCUCUACUGGACCGCAACUGACACUCAGGGACGAAAGCUAGGGGAGCGAAUGGG